CGUCAUGUGUCUUCUCAGUCAUGUUGACACUGGUCUACUACCAGGUCAUGUGUCUUCUCAGUCAUGUUGACACUGGUCUACUACCAGGUCAUGUGUCUUCUCAGUCAUGUUGACACUGGUCUACUACCAGGUCAUGUGUCUUCUCAGUCAUGUUGACACUGGUCUACUACCAGGUCAUGUGUCUUCUCAGUCAUGUUGACACUGGUCUACUACCAGGUCAUGUGUCUUCUCAGUCAUGUUGACACUGGUCUACUACCAGGUCAUGUGUCUUCUCAGUCAUGUUGACACUGGUCUACUACCACGUCAUGUGUCUUCUCAGUCAUGUUGACACUGGUCUACUACCAGGUCAUGUGUCUUCUCAGUCAUGUUGACACUGGUCUACUACCAGGUCAUGUGUCUUCUCAGUCAUGUUGACACUGGUCUACUACCAGGUCAUGUGUCUUCUCAGUCAUGUUGACACUGGUCUACUACCAGGUCAUGUGUCUUCUCAGUCAUGUUGACACUGGUCUACUACCAGGUCAUGUGUCUUCUCAGUCAUGUUGACACUGGUCUACUACCAGGUCAUGUGUCUUCUCAGUCAUGUUGACACUGGUCUACUACCAGGUCAUGUGUCUUCUCAGUCAUGUUGACACUGGUCUACUACCAGGUCAUGUGUCUUCUCAGUCAUGUUGACACUGGUCUACUACCAGGUCAUGUGUCUUCUCAGACAUGUUGACACCGGUCUACUACCAGGUCAUGUGUCUUCUCAGUCAUGUUGACACUGGUCUACUACCACGUCAUGUGUCUUCUCAGUCAUGUUGACACUGGUCUACUACCAGGUCAUGUGUCUUCUCAGACAUGUUGACACUGGUCUAGUACCAGGUCAUGUGUCUUUUCAGUCAUGUUGACACUGGUCUAGUACCAGGUCAUGUGUCUUUUCAGUCAUGUUGACACUGGUCUACUACCAGGUCAUGUGUCUUCUCAGUCAUGUUGACACUGGUCUAGUACCAGGUCAUGUGUCUUUUCAGUCAUGUUGACACUGGUCUACUACCAGGUCAUGUGUCUUCUCUGUCAUGUUGACACUGGUCUACUACCAGGUCAUGUGUCUUCUCAGUCAUGUUGACACU